rnacentral:rRNA from 1 species
UACGUAGGUGGCGAACGUUGUCCGGAUUUACUGGGCGUAAAGCGCGCGCAGGCGGCCUGGUAAGUCAGAGGUGAAAUCUCCCGGCUCAACUGGGAGGGGCCCUUUGAUACUGUCAGUCUUGAGAUGCCUAGAGGAGAGUGGAAUUCCCGGUGUAGUGGUGGAAUGCGUAGAUAUCGGGAGGAACACCAGUGGCGAAAGCGACUCGCUGGGGGGGAUCUGACGCUGAGGCGCGAAAGCGUGGGGAGCAAACCGG